rnacentral:lncRNA from 1 species
GUCGUCUUUGGAAAUUAUUACAAAGUUCAGCUGGAAGUCUCCUUCUCCCUGUGGACCUUCCCCAAUUCCACUGGCUGCCCUCCUCAAGGACCCCUGUUCUCCAGGGCCGAUGUAUGUUUGGAGAUGGAUUUCCCCCUCUCACACUUCAGGCACUCAGUUUUUUGGCAGUCUCAUGGAGUUUUCAGUGGCAAGCCGCUUAUUUCAAAUGGGAUUUGGAAAGGAUUCCGUGAUGGUUAAUAUUGAGUGUCAACUUGAUUGGAUUGAAGGAUGCAAAGUAUUGUUCCUGGGUGUGUCUGUGAGGGUGUCACCAAAGGAGAUGAACAUUUGAAUCAAUGCUUCCUGACCUCGAAUAUCAGACUCCAAGUUCUUUAGCUUUUGGACUCUUGGACCUUUGGCCACAGACGGAAGGCUGCACUUUUGAAGUUUUGGGACUUGGACUGGCUUCCUUGCUCCUCAGCUUACAGAUGGCCUAUUGUGGGACUUCACCUUGUGAUUGUGUAAGUCAAUACUCCUUAAUAAACUCUGCUUUAUAUAUA